GAAGUUUUCCUCGGCAGUUAACUGCAGCCGGUUUCAUAAUUCUGCAGUUAACUGCCGAGGGGCAU
rnacentral:pre_miRNA from 1 species